rnacentral:rRNA from 1 species
AACGUAGGGACCGAGCGUUAUCCGGAUUUACUGGGCGUAAAGCGCGUUCAGGCGGUUUGGCAAGUCGGGCAUGAAAUCUCUCGGCUCAACCGGGAGAGGUUGUCCGAUACUGCCGGACUUGAGGGCAGUAGAGGGUGGUGGAAUUCCGGGUGUAGUGGUGAAAUGCGUAGAUAUCCGGAGGAACACCAGUGGCGAAAGCGGCCGCCUGGACUGCACCUGACGCUGACACGCGAAAGCUAGGGGAGCGAACGGG